rnacentral:rRNA from 1 species
UACGUAGGUGACAAGCGUUAUCCGGAAUUACUGGGCGUAAAGGGCGCGUAGGCGGCACCGCAAGUCGACUGUGAAAUCUCCGGGCUUAACUCGGAAAGGUCAGCCGAUACUGCGGGGCUAGAGUGCAGAAGGGGCAACUGGAAUUCUCGGUGUAGCGGUGAAAUGCGUAGAUAUCGAGAGGAACACCUGCGGCGAAGGCGGGUUGCUGGGCUGACACUGACGCUGAUGCGCGAAAGCGUGGGGAGCAAACAGG